CCUACGGGUGGCAGCAGUGGGGAAUAUUGCACAAUGGGCGCAAGCCUGAUGCAGCCAUGCCGCGUGUGUGAAGAAGGCCUUCGGGUUGUAAAGCACUUUCAGCGGGGAGGAAGGCGUUAAGGUUAAUAACCUUGGCGAUUGACGUUACCCGCAGAAGAAGCACCGGCUAACUCCGUGCCAGCAGCCGCGGUAAUACGGAGGGUGCAAGCGUUAAUCGGAAUUACUGGGCGUAAAGCGCACGCAGGCGGUCUGUCAAGUCGGAUGUGAAAUCCCCGGGCUCAACCUGGGAACUGCAUUCGAAACUGGCAGGCUAGAGUCUUGUAGAGGGGGGUAGAAUUCCAGGUGUAGCGGUGAAAUGCGUAGAGAUCUGGAGGAAAACCGGUGGCGAAGGCGGCCCCCUGGACAAAGACUGACGCUCAGGUGCGAAAGCGUGGGGAGCAAACAGGAUUAGAUACCCCUGUAGUC
rnacentral:rRNA from 1 species